GUCAGAUAUACUUAAAUCAACAGUAUAAAUCAUCUUGUCAAGAAAUUAACAGUCCUUCCUUCCUUCCUCCCUCCCUUCCUGUCUUUUUCUUUCUUUUUUCCUCUCUCCUUCCUUUCUUCCUUCUUUUCUUUCUUUCUAACUCACCAUAUAUCACUGCUAAUGUAACAAAUUCCAGUGUUGUAAGUUUGUAUUCAUAAAAUGUCCAUGCACACAGGG